rnacentral:rRNA from 1 species
GACGAACGCUGGCGGCGUGCCUAAUACAUGCAAGUCGAACGCAGUGGGGACGGGUGAGUAACACGUGGGUAACCUCCCAUCAGAGGGGAUAACACUUGGAAAAAGGUGCUAAACCGAUACUGAUGGCUGAACCCGCGGUGCAUUAGCUGGUUGGUGAGGUAACGGCUCACCAAGGCGACGAGGCAUAGCCGGUCUGAGAGUGUGAUCGGCCACACUGGGACUGAGACACGGCCCAGACUCCUACGGGAGGCAGCAGUAGGGAAUAUUCGGCAAUGGGCGAAAGUCUGACCGAGCAACGCCGCGUGAGGGAAGAAGGUUUUCGGGUCGUAAAACUCUUUUGUUAGGGAAGCGGUAUCUAACCAGAAAGCAACGGCUAACUACGGGCCAGCAGCCGCGGUAAUUC